CAUAAUACAAUAAUUAUUUCAGCAAGAGAAGUUUUAAAAUCUUGGUUGCUAGUGAUAUACGAAUAUAUGUGGACUGUGGAACUAUGGACCAAUUAAAGUUACACAAAAUUAGAACAAAAUGCAUGCUUCAUAUUUUAGUUAAACAGUCUUUUUUUCAUGCACUUUUAGUGCUGUUAAUCUGAAGAACAAUGGCAGAUACAAACCCAGAUAAAACCCCUCAGUGCGAUAAGAGCAAACAAUGCCAGGGUGAAGGCAAGGGUGAAGGCAAGGGUGAAGGCAAAGGUGAAGGCAAGGGAAAAGGACCAGGACAAGGGCAAGGCAAGGGUCAUGGUCACGGACAUGGUCAUGGUCAUGGUCACGGUCACGGACCUGGAAAGGAUGGAAAGGAUUGCAAAGGCAACCCAUAAUGACAAGGAGCUGAAUGAAGAGACCUCUGAAGUCUGUCUGAUACUGUUUUUUCUUGCACCAUGACUAAUAAAAUAAAACAUGUAUAAGUGUACCACAUAUGUUUGUUUUUAUUAAAUGAUAAUAAAGUGUUGGUAUCAGAGAA